rnacentral:rRNA from 1 species
AGAAUCCUUCGGGAGGAAGACCAUUGUGACUGAGUGGCGGACGGGUGAGUAACGCGUGGGUAACCUGCCUUGUACAGGGGGAUAACAGUUGGAAACGACUGCUAAUACCGCAUAAGCGCACAGUACCGCAUGGUACGGUGUGAAAGACUCCGGUGGUACAAGAUGGACCCGCGUCUGAUUAGCUGGUUGGUGAGGUAACGGCCCACCAAGGCGACGAUCAGUAGCCGACUUGAGAGAGUGAUCGGCCACAUUGGGACUGAGACACGGCCCAAACUCC